rnacentral:rRNA from 1 species
UACAGAGGUCUCAAGCGUUUGUUCGGAUUCAUUGGGCGUAAAGGGCGCGUAGGCGGCGGGGUAAGUCGGGUGUGAAAUCUCAGAGCUCAACUCUGAAACUGCACUCGAUACUGCUCUGCUUGAGGACUGGAGAGGAGACUGGAAUUCACGGUGUAGCAGUGAAAAUGCGUAGAUAUCGUGAGGAAGACCAGUGGCGAAGGCGGGUCUCUGGACAGUUCCUGACGCUGAGGCGCGAAGGCCAGGGGGAGCAAAACGGGG